UAUUUAGUUGUUAUUUUAUACCGGCACAAUAAUAUAUUGAAAAAUAUCUUCUUUUUUUUCAAAUUGAACUUUAGUAUCUGUUCUAAACAAAUUACAGACAAUUUUUUCAUCUGUGUACUUGGCACCAAUGUUUGCGCAGGUGUUAUCAAACAUGGAGAGGAGAGAACGUUCUGCAGCCCUGUCAGUAACCCUGCACAUAGCACUUUUGCGCCUUAUCGAGCAAAGGCCAGUCGUCGAGGACAGGUCUACUAGUACUGUAACACAAUAAAUGACAGCAAAAGAAAGGCCUAGGAUGAAAUUACUGCCUCAUUAAACACCAGCAACCAAGAUCAACUCCCUCUUACAGCCAAGCACCUCAAGAGGAGCUCCAACAUAAAAAGGAAACUAAAACCAGAGAUAUAGGAGAGCGGGUGGUGGUCCUCCAGAAAACUAUCAUUAGCUUCAGAAGAAAUCACCACCCACUGCUCGUGUCAUGCGGAAGACUUCUGCAAGUGUACCUGAACUUCCUCACUCCCAUGAUCCUCUUGUUUUGCCUGUUCCAACACCAGGGCUAUCAACUGUGUCUUCUGCACCAUCUACUUCUGUUUUUCGACUUCUAAUUUCACCCUCUGUUCCUGCCUCACCAGUCAUUGUGAGAAAAGACAAGGGGAGUUCCACAAAUAUAAAUUGUACACAAUGAAAAGAGAGCAUGAGGAGGAACUGAAAGUGAAGGCCAUAAUAUCAGCACAUACACUCAAAGAAAGAUAAAGUGAAACUGUAAUUAGAGUGAUUGAAAAGACGCUUGAAAAAAUUAAUAAAUCUUUUGAAUUGUUAGAUACAUGUUUAAGGAAAGCAUCAACUGCAUAUGAUGCCAUGGCUAAAACUUAUGAAUGAUGGUUGAGUAAUAACAUACAGUCAUAUGCAAUGUUUAUGAUUUUACUAUAUACAGGGGUACUGUGAUAUAUCGUAAAGUGGCAUCUAGAUUAUAAAUUUAUUUUCUUGUCUUACACCUUAAAAUAAUUUUAUUUAAAGGAAAUAAAUCUACAUUUCUUUAUUUUGCCAUUGUUUACAAUUGCUGUCUUAAGUAUGGCAGCUAAGAUUUUUUUUUUUUUAUGAUAUACAGGUAUGCUGUGAUUUUCAAUAAUUGCAAUUCUUUUUACUGUGCUAUAGACUAAAGUUCUUUUUUUUGGGGGGGGGGUAGAUUUAUAAUACAAGUUGUUAUAUGCAAAGUAAUGGAUAUAGGAGAUUUUUAGUUUAUUAAUUUUUAUGCAUUCAUAUAUAAUUUAAUUUAAGAGAAAAUUUGUCUCCGCAUUUCUAUUUUGUGCAAAUAUUGUACAAAGUAUGGCAGUUCAGAUUUUUUUUAUGUAUAUCUAUAAUAUAAGCUGUGAUAUUAAUGAAAUGCAGAGUCCUGUAUAGAAAAAAUAAUUUUUAUUUUCUUAAUUUUUGCACAUUUAGAAAAAAUAAAUCUAUAUUUCUU